rnacentral:rRNA from 1 species
UCUGGUGGCAAUAGCAAAGAGGUCACACCUGUUCCCAUGCCGAACACAGAAGUUAAGCUCUUUAGCGCCGAUGGUAGUCGGACUUACGUUCCGCAAGAGUAGGACGUUGCCAGGCUUA